rnacentral:rRNA from 1 species
UACGUAGGGUGCGAGCGUUAAUCGGAAUUACUGGGCGUAAAGCGUGCGCAGGCGGUUCGUUGUGUCGGUGGUGAAAUCCCCGGGCUUAACCUGGGAAUGGCCAUGGAAACUGGCGAACUGGAGUGUGGCAGAGGGGGGUGGAAUUCCGCGUGUAGCAGUGAAAUGCGUAGAGAUGCGGAGGAACACCGAUGGCGAAGGCAGCCCCCUGGGCUAGCACUGACGCUCAGGGGCGAAAGCGUGGGGAGCAAACCGG